GGGUUGUGAGGUUAAGCGACUAAGCGUACACGGUGGAUGCCCUGGCAGUCAGAGGCGAUGAAGGGCGUGCUAAUCUGCGAUAAGCGCCGGUAAGGUGAUAUGAACCGUUAUAACCGGCGAUACCCGAAUGGGGAAACCCAGUGUGAUUCGUCACACUAUCAUUAACUGAAUCCAUAGGUUAAUGAGGCGAACCGGGGGAACUGAAACAUCUAAGUACCCCGAGGAAAAGAAAUCAACCGAGAUUCCCCCAGUAGCGGCGAGCGAACGGGGAGGAGCCCAGAGCCUGAAUCAGCAUAUGUGUUAGUGGAAGCGUCUGGAAAGGCGCGCGAUACAGGGUGACAGCCCCGUACACAAAAGCGCAUGUGCUGUGAGCUCGAUGAGUAGGGCGGGACACGUGGUAUCCUGUCUGAAUAUGGGGGGACCAUCCUCCAAGGCUAAAUACUCCUGACUGACCGAUAGUGAACCAGUACCGUGAGGGAAAGGCGAAAAGAACCCCGGCGAGGGGAGUGAAAAAGAACCUGAAACCGUGUACGUACAAGCAGUGGGAGCCCCACCACUAAGCCAGUGGUGAACUCCACAUACGCAUCCUUUGCUGAGGAUACGGUUAACGGAGCGCAAGCGACGUUCAACCUCAAAAGAAGCAGAGGGGGCUUAGUGGUGGGGUGACUGCGUACCUUUUGUAUAAUGGGUCAGCGACUUAUAUUCUGUAGCAAGGUUAACCGUAUAGGGGAGCCGGAGGGAAACCGAGUCUUAAUUGGGCGUUAAGUUGCAGGGUAUAGACCCGAAACCCGGUGAUCUAGCCAUGGGCAGGUUGAAGGUUGGGUAACACUAACUGGAGGACCGAACCGACUAAUGUUGAAAAAUUAGCGGAUGACCUGUGGCUGGGGGUGAAAGGCCAAUCAAACCGGGAGAUAGCUGGUUCUCCCCGAAAGCUAUUUAGGUAGCGCCUCGUGAAUUCAUCUCCGGGGGUAGAGCACUGUUUCGGCUAGGGGGCCAUCCCGGCUUACCAACCCGAUGCAAACUGCGAAUACCGGAGAAUGUUAUCACGGGAGACACACGGCGGGUGCUAACGUCCGUCGUGAAGAGGGAAACAACCCAGACCGCCAGCUAAGGUCCCAAAGUCAUGGUUAAGUGGGAAACGAUGUGGGAAGGCCCAGACAGCCAGGAUGUUGGCUUAGAAGCAGCCAUCAUUUAAAGAAAGCGUAAUAGCUCACUGGUCGAGUCGGCCUGCGCGGAAGAUGUAACGGGGCUAAACCAUGCACCGAAGCUGCGGCAGCGACGCUGAUGCGUUGUUGGGUAGGGGAGCGUUCUGUAAGCCUGCGAAGGUGGCCUGUGAGGGUUGCUGGAGGUAUCAGAAGUGCGAAUGCUGACAUAAGUAACGAUAAAGCGGGUGAAAAGCCCGCUCGCCGGAAGACCAAGGGUUCCUGUCCAACGUUAAUCGGGGCAGGGUGAGUCGACCCCUAAGGCGAGGCCGAAAGGCGUAGUCGAUGGGAAACGGGUUAAUAUUCCCGUACUUGGUGUUACUGCGAAGGGGGGACGGAGAAGGCUAUGUUGGCCGGGCGACGGUUGUCCCGGUUUAAGCGUGUAGGUGUGUGUUCCAGGUAAAUCCGGUUCACUUUAACACUGAGGCGUGAUGACGAGGCACUACGGUGCUGAAGCAACAAAUGCCCUGCUUCCAGGAAAAGCCUCUAAGCAUCAGGUAACAUCAAAUCGUACCCCAAACCGACACAGGUGGUCAGGUAGAGAAUACCAAGGCGCUUGAGAGAACUCGGGUGAAGGAACUAGGCAAAAUGGUGCCGUAACUUCGGGAGAAGGCACGCUGACACGUAGGUGAAGUGAUUUACUCAUGGAGCUGAAGUCAGUCGAAGAUACCAGCUGGCUGCAACUGUUUAUUAAAAACACAGCACUGUGCAAACACGAAAGUGGACGUAUACGGUGUGACGCCUGCCCGGUGCCGGAAGGUUAAUUGAUGGGGUCAGCGCAAGCGAAGCUCCUGAUCGAAGCCCCGGUAAACGGCGGCCGUAACUAUAACGGUCCUAAGGUAGCGAAAUUCCUUGUCGGGUAAGUUCCGACCUGCACGAAUGGCGUAAUGAUGGCCAGGCUGUCUCCACCCGAGACUCAGUGAAAUUGAACUCGCUGUGAAGAUGCAGUGUACCCGCGGCAAGACGGAAAGACCCCGUGAACCUUUACUAUAGCUUGACACUGAACAUUGAGCCUUGAUGUGUAGGAUAGGUGGGAGGCUUUGAAGUGUGGACGCCAGUCUGCAUGGAGCCGGCCUUGAAAUACCACCCUUUAAUGUUUGAUGUUCUAACGUGGACCCGUGAUCCGGGUUGCGGACAGUGUCUGGUGGGUAGUUUGACUGGGGCGGUCUCCUCCUAAAGAGUAACGGAGGAGCACGAAGGUUGGCUAAUCCUGGUCGGACAUCAGGAGGUUAGUGCAAUGGCAUAAGCCAGCUUGACUGCGAGCGUGACGGCGCGAGCAGGUGCGAAAGCAGGUCAUAGUGAUCCGGUGGUUCUGAAUGGAAGGGCCAUCGCUCAACGGAUAAAAGGUACUCCGGGGAUAACAGGCUGAUACCGCCCAAGAGUUCAUAUCGACGGCGGUGUUUGGCACCUCGAUGUCGGCUCAUCACAUCCUGGGGCUGAAGUAGGUCCCAAGGGUAUGGCUGUUCGCCAUUUAAAGUGGUACGCGAGCUGGGUUUAGAACGUCGUGAGACAGUUCGGUCCCUAUCUGCCGUGGGCGCUGGAGAACUGAGGGGGGCUGCUCCUAGUACGAGAGGACCGGAGUGGACGCAUCACUGGUGUUCGGGUUGUCAUGCCAAUGGCACUGCCCGGUAGCUAAAUGCGGAAGAGAUAAGUGCUGAAAGCAUCUAAGCACGAAACUUGCCCCGAGAUGAGUUCUCCCUGAGACUUUAGGUCUCCUGAAGGAACGUUGAAGACGACGACGUUGAUAGGCCGGGUGUGUAAGCGCAGCGAUGCGUUGAGCUAACCGGUACUAAUGAACCGUGAGGCUUAACCUUACAACGCCGAAG
rnacentral:rRNA from 1 species